AAUAGAUACCCUGGUAGUCCACGCCGUAAACGAUGAGUGCUAAGUGUUAGGGGGUUUCCGCCCCCUUAGUGCUGCAGCUAACGCAUUAAGCACUCCGCCUGGGGAGUACGGUCGCAAGACUGAAACUCAAAGGAAUUGACGGGGGCCCGCACAAGCGGUGGAGCAUGUGGUUUAAUUCGAAGCAACGCGAAGAACCUUACCAGGUCUUGACAUCCCACUGACCGCUAUGGAGACAUAGUUUUCCCUUCGGGGACAGUGGUGACAGGUGGUGCAUGGUUGUCGUCAGCUCGUGUCGUGAGAUGUUGGGUUAAGUCCCGCAACGAGCGCAACCCUUGAUCUUAGUUGCCAUCAUUUAGUUGGGCACUCUAAGGUGACUGCCGGUGACAAACCUGAGGAAGGUGGGGAUGACGUCAAAUCAUCAUGCCCCUUAUGACCUGGGCUACACACGUGCUACAAUGGACGGUACAAACGGUUGCCAACCCGCGAGGGGAGCUAAUCCGAUAAAACCGUUCUCAGUUCGGAUUGUAGGCUGCAACUCGCCUAC
rnacentral:rRNA from 1 species